rnacentral:tRNA from 1 species
CAAACUAUACUAGAUAAAAUUUCAUUUACACUGAAAUAAUGAUUGUGCAAUUCAUUCUAGUUUGA